rnacentral:rRNA from 1 species
AUGCCGCCCAAAGAGCUGCCUGGGUUCUACUACGACCCGGACAAGAACCGCUACUUUCCCACCAAGGGCCGCAUCCCCGGCGCCGCCAACCGCCCUCCUCGCCCUCCGCCGCCGCCCGCUGAGCCCUCGCCUCCUCCCACAGAACGCAGGAAAAGGGCGAGGCAGUCCGAGCUGCUGCAUGCCAGAGAGAUGUACGGCGGUGGUGUGAUAUUCUCCAAGAACAACAAGUCCACCUUCAAGCAGCAGUGCCAGUACACACAGGCGUCGCAGCCCAUGGUUUGGAAGUACCAAGGCACAACCUUAGUGGCUGAUAAGGCACUGGAGGAACUGCACGCCAUGGUUCAGACACCGAGUGGGCUGCGUGAGUCCAAGCUAUUAGCGACCGGCAGCACGAAUGGUUCAAUCAGAUUAUUUGGGUUGGGAACUGCUCUAGAGAAUUUUGAGGAUGAGAUGGAGUUUUUACCUCAGCCUGUUUGGACUCCCUUGGGAAAGCAGAAAGCAGCAGUGAAUUCUCCACUUGCAAAUGUCUGGUCAUCUGAAACAGCUUUCUCAAACUUCUCAUCCAGUAUAUCUUGCAUAAAAAAGUUUGGGCACAACUUCCAUGAUGCAGCCAGCGCCAACUCAUCGGUUCAGCGAGCAUUGGUGGCUACUCUUGGAUCUGGAGGAUCCGGUGGUUCUGUUUAUAUUAUGGAUAUGUCAACUAUCGACUCUGCAACGGUUUCACGGAAUGCCCAUGAAAGAAUUGAAAGAGUUGCUUCAUUUGAUCGUACAGUAUGGACUGCUGAUUGUAAUUCUGAUGGCACACAAGUAGUUCUAGGUACAAACACUGGCGCUGGUUUGCUUAAUUUGGAGACGGGGACAUUAUCAUGGCUGUAUCGUUGUAAAAGUGACAUUCUCUCCCAGCAAUUUGUGCACUCGGGAAAUGUGGUGCUAUGUGGACUACGGAAUGGGAGCAUAGUCCCUGUUGAUGUGCGGGAAAGGCACAGUAAUCAACCUACUGGUCGAUCUUCACCUAGCACUGCUAGGGGGACAGUUCCCAUGCUGUCUGCAAGGCAUAAUGCCAGAGGGAGAAACCAGGCUGAUAAGGCAAAAUCAUCUAGGGUUAUCUCUAUGCCUUCAGCAGUUUGCAGCCUGGUUUCUCUGUCAUCGGAUGAACACUACUUCUUAGGGAGUUCCAUGGAUGGAUCGAUCAAGCUAUUUGAUCUCCGUCUCAUUCAGAAGGGGGCUAUACAGUCUUAUGCAGGGCAUGUGAAUUCACACAAUAAUUUACCACUUGUUGUUGAUCCAUCUGAAACCCUACUUAUGUCAGGUGGGGAGGACUGUACCGUCCGUAUUUGGAGCAUCAAAACAGGCGAGCAAAUAUUUGCGAAGAGCGUGGCUGACACUCUCUUCACUGCACUUUGCUGGCCAGAAAGCAACCUUGACUUGGAUGGUUCUUCUUCGCUGUUUGAUCUAAACCACAGUUGGGGGGCUUGGAUGGGAUCACGUGAUGGCCUGUUCUACAUGCAUGGUACUUAA